rnacentral:tRNA from 1 species
GCCGGAGUGGCGGAAUAGGCAGACGCCCAGGACUUAAAAUCCUGUGAAACGUAAGUUUCGUACCGGUUCGAGCCCGGUGUCCGGCACCA